CCUACGGGGGGCAGCAGUCGAGAAUCAUUCACAAUGGGGGAAACCCUGAUGGUGCGACGCCGCGUGGGGGAAUGAAGGUCUUCGGAUUGUAAACCCCUGUCAUGUGGGAGCAAAUUAAAAAGAUAGUACCACAAGAGGAAGAGACGGCUAACUCUGUGCCAGCAGCCGCGGUAAUACAGAGGUCUCAAGCGUUGUUUGGAAUCACUGGGCGUAAAGCGUGCGUAGGCUGUUUCGUAAGUCGUGUGUGAAAGGCGGGGGCUCAACCCGCGGACGGCACAUGAUACUGCGAGACUAGAGUAAUGGAGGGGGAACCGGAAUUCUCGGUGUAGCAGUGAAAUGCGUAGAUAUCGAGAGGAACACUCGUGGCGAAGGCAGGUUCCUGGACAUUAACUGACGCUGAGGCACGAAGGCCAGGGGAGCGAAAGGGAUUAGAUACCCCUGUAGUC
rnacentral:rRNA from 1 species